UAUAUAUAUAUAUGUGUGUAUGUGUGUGUGUGUAUAUGUUUGUUGUGGGUAGUGGGUAACGAUUUUCUUCACUACCUCAGGGAGUGACAACUCUGCCUGACACGAGUCCCAGGCUCAGCUGGCUCCAGCUGACAGUACCCGGUAUUGGCCCCUA